GGGCGCACGCGAGCACCUUUCUGAAAUCUAAAAUGACAAAUGGGAUGAGCAACUGUUUCAUGCACUCAUAAAGUGUGCCAUUUGGGACAAGGCCAAGGAGUCGUAUGCUCCCCAAACGCUCUCGCGGUCCUUUGAUGUCAUACGCCGAUCGGUCUGCGCAUCUCGAACAAGCCUGUUUUCAUAGAAGCACUCGGAGAUCACGCUGCGCACGCACACAAACAUUCAGGAGCACAGAAACUUGUUAUCAACGCUGCUCCGCAACCGUUAUUAAAAUAGCUUUGCUACUGAAUCGCUACAUUUCAUUUCUCAGCAAGGAGGGGUAACAUUGCUGGGUUUAAAGUAAUUAAACUCAUAAAUUUCAUAAGAGUAGGAGACUCUGGCCUGAACAGACACGCAGAGUACAUGGAUCUUUCCCCGUUCCUGAGCUACUUCAUGUCAGAGUGUAGAGAAGACAGGACAAUCAUAUGGAAAGAUGGGGGAAUGGCACAGUACAUGAUCAGUGACCAAUUUCGAGCCAAGUUUUCUUCCCCAAUAAUGAUUAUAACAUUAUCAAAAUGAAUGGAUUUAGACUGAAAAGAAGUCACUUCACAAGGUUGAAUACAUUUGUAUGAACAUAAUGUAUUCAAUUCACAUUGAAUUUACAUUGAAUUUAUUAAUUGUUUUAAAUAAAAGUUAA